GGGAACUAAUGGAGUUUCUAGCACACCACAAAUUCCUAAAUCUCCUUUGAUUCCUUUUCACAUGCUUAUUGUUGCUAUCAGUGACAAGAUUCCUACUAGUGAUACGAGCCUUAUCCAAGCACAUUAUGAAUUAUAUAAGGCAAAACAAAUUUCUCGUCAUGAUUUUGUGAAGGAAUUAAGGUUGAUAGUUGGAGACGCUAAAUUAAAAGAUACAAUAACAAGUCUUCAAUUCAGGAUACCGUCAAUUGAGGAAUUGAAAUGCUCAAACCAGAAUGAUAGCUAAGUCUAACCAGCUAUGAUGAAUUGAAGAACUUUUCACCAGCUAUGAGGAGUUGAAGAACUUUUCACCGAGACAACUAAUGUCAACUUUUUGUUUGGUAGUCAUCAACAUGAAGUUGUUUUAUUGUUUGCUCUUAGGAAAACUGUGUUUUACACCACUUUUUCAUUUAUUUCUAUUCAUGCUUUGCUACUAUAAUUUCAUUAGAACUUAUUUUGUAACCAUUUAGACUCACCAUGUGUUAGAGUUUUAUAAUAAAAGUCGUUAGUUGGAUAGUGGGAUGUUCAUUUC